rnacentral:rRNA from 7 species
ACCUGGUUGAUCCUGCCAGUAGUCAUAUGCUUGUCU